CAUACUUUUUUAUUUUCAGCAGCUGGAGGAGAGACAGCCUGUGCAGCAACAACAAGACAACAAUGAUUAUAAGCAGGGAUAAUCUCCAGGUGGACUGCACGGGUCCAGGAUCAAGAGAUCAUUCAUCAUGCAGACCAUGUUCCAGGAGAAGCAGUGUAUCCUGGGUCUGCUUGAUCAUGUUGUUGUCCUGGAUGUGAGAACAUGGUCAAAAGGUGUGUCAAUCAGCAUCCAGACAUAAAAGCCGCCUUCUCGUUAAAAGGCUCAGGAGGACAAACAGCUGCCAGAGGAGGAUGAUGAUGGCAGUGGUGACCGAGGUGACUGUGCAGCUCAGGAUGAAGAAGAGGAGGAACAUUUUGCAAAAAUCCAAAGUGAAUAUAUAGAGACCAUCCUCCUAUCCUUGCCUCAGAAGAACCUGAGAAAGACCCUCUUCCUCUUCUCUCACAGCUCUCCAUCAUCUACCUCUAUACAACACUGUUGGCAAGAGUGUUAUACA